CCUGGCUCAGAACGACGCUGGCGGCGCGUUUAAGCGUGCAAGUCGAGCGGCAAGGGCCUUCGGGCCCCUAGAGCGGCGGACGGGUGAGUAACACGUGGACAAUCUGCCCCCCGGCCCGGGAUAGCCCAGGGAAACCUGGAUUAAUACCGGAUGAGACGGGACCCGCGAUGGCGGGACCCGGGAAAGGCGCUGCGGCGCCGCCGGGGGAUGAGUCUGCGUCCCAUUAGCUAGACGGCGGGGUAACGGCCCACCGUGGCGACGAUGGGUAGCCGGCCUGAGAGGGUGGACGGCCACAUUGGAACUGAGACACGGUCCAGACUCCUACGGGAGGCAGCAGCUAAGAAUCUUCCGCAAUGGGCGAAAGCCUGACGGAGCGACGCCCGCGUGAACGAAGAAGGCCGUGAGGUUGUAAAGUUCUUUUCGGGAGGGGGAACAACCGUGGCAGGGAAUGGCCGCGGGAUGACGUGAAUCCCGGAAUAAGCCCCGGCUAACUACGUGCCAGCAGCCGC
rnacentral:rRNA from 1 species